UAGAGUUUGACUUGGCUCAGGACGAACGCUGGCGGCGUGCCUAAUACAUGCAAGUCGAGCGGACUUGUAGGAGCUUGCUCCUGCAGGUUAGCGGCGGACGGGUGAGUAACACGUGGCAACCUACCUGUAAGACUGGGAUAACUCGGGAAACCGGAGCUAAUACCGGAUGACAUAAAGGAACUCCUGUUCCUUUAUUGAAAGAUGGCUUCGGCUAUCACUUACAGAUGGGCCGCGGCGCAUUAGCUAGUUGGUGAGGUAACGGCUCACCAAGGCAAGAUGCGUAGCCGACCUGAGAGGGUGAUCGGCCACACUGGGACUGAGACACGGCCCAGACUUUCCUACGGGAAGGCAGCAGUAGGGAAUCUUCCGCAAUGGACGAAAGUCUGACGGAGCAACGCCGCGUGAACGAUGAAGCCUUCGGUCGUAAAGUUCUGUUGUUAGGGAGAACAAGUGCUAGUUGAAUAAGCUGGCACCUUGACGGUACCUAACCAGAAGCCACGGCUAACUACGUGCCAGCAGCCGCGGUAAUACGUAGGUGGCAAGCGUUGUCCGGAAUUAUUGGGCGUAAAGCGCGCGCAGGCGGUUUCUUAAGUCUGAUGUGAAAGCCCCCGGUUCACCCGGGGAGGGUCAUUGGAAACUGGGAAACUUGAGUGCAGAAGAGGAAAGUGGAAUUCCAAGUGUAGCGGUGAAAUGCGUAGAGAUUUGGAGGAACACCAGUGGCGAAGGCGACUUUCUGGUCUGUAACUGACGCUGAGGCGCGAAAGCGUGGGGAGCAAACAGGAUUAGAUACCCUGGUAGUCCACGCUGUAAACGAUAGUGCUAAGUGUUAGAGGGUUUCCGCCCUUUAGUGCUGAAGUUAACGCAUUAAGCACUCCGCCUGGGGAGUACGGUCGCAAGACUGAAACUCAAAGGAAUUGACGGGGGCCCGCACAAGUGGUGGAGCAUGUGGUUUAAUUCGAAGCAACGCGAAGAACCUUACCAGGUCUUGACAUCCUCUGACAACCCUAGAGAUAGGGCGUUCCCUUCGGGGACAGAGUGACAGGUGGUGCAUGGUUGUCGUCAGCUCGUGUCGUGAGAUGUUGGGUUAAGUCCCGCAACGAGCGCAACCCUUGAUCUUAGUUGCCAGCAUUAAGUUGGGCAUCUAAGGUGACUGCCGGUGACAAACCGGAGGAAGGUGGGGAUGACGUCAAAUCAUCAUGCCCCUUAUGACCUGGGCUACACACGUGCUACAAUGGAUAGUACAAAGGGUUGCAAGACCGCGAGGUGGAGCUAAUCCCAGAAAACUAUUCUCAGUUCGGAUUGUAGGCUGCAACUCGCCUACAUGAAGCCGGAAUCACUAGUAAUCGCGGAUCAGCAUGCCGCGGUGAAUACGUUCCCGGGCCUUGUACACACCGCCCGUCACACCACGAGAGUUUGUAACACCCGAAGUCGGUGGGGUAACCUUUUAGGGGCCAGCCGCCUAAGGUGGGACAGAUGAUUGGGGUGAAGUCGUAACAAGGUAGCCGUAUCGGAAGGUGCGGAUGGAUCACCUCCUUA
rnacentral:rRNA from 1 species